GCUGAUGAGAGACAGGAGCGAUGGAUGGUCUGAGUUAGCGGGGUCCCGGCACCACCCAGCGCAAAGGCACUGCACUCACGCACGCCAUGCACAUGCUGGCUCACCUCCUCCAUCCCAUGCCUCCCCUGUCUCCAGCAUUCCCUCUGGAAUACAUCAGCACUGUUGCCUUUGAGGCUGGCCUGCUUGAAUGCACACCUGAGCUCCGGAUUCACAGUGGAGGAAGCCAGAUGCCAUGUCAUGAGGGUGCUCAAGCAACUUUUUGGAGAUGUAUGUAUGGAGAGAAACUGAGGCCUCCUGCCAACAGCCAGCACUAACUUGGCAAGCAUGUUUGAGAGCCACCUGGGAAGUGGAGCCUUCAGCCCCAGUUAAGCCUUCAGAUGAGACUGCAGUCCUGGCCACCAUCUGGACUGCAACUUCACAAGAGCUCCUAAGCCAGAGCCAUGCAGAUGGAUUCUUGGCCCCCAGAAAUUGUGCCACUACAUUUUGGGAAAUUUAUUAUGCAGCCAUAGAUUACCAAUACACUCACUAUUUCUUUUUUCUGAUGCCAUACUA
rnacentral:lncRNA from 1 species